AGUACCUCAUGCCCCACCCCUCUAGGAGCAUGCCGGCCAGGAGGAAGGGAGCUCCGGCAGUGACUGCCUGCUUAUCGACACAGAGGCAGAGGAGGAGCCUUCUGCCAACCUCGAUAUUGUUUAAAUGGAGCCGGAGGAGGAGGAGCCCCAGUGUA